GGCCUAUGAUGAAGAAAAUAUUUGCUACUCUUGAUGGUGUAAUCCACAUGACGAUAAAUAUAUUAUCACCAAGAUCUAUGAGGCC
rnacentral:snoRNA from 1 species